rnacentral:lncRNA from 1 species
GUCAAGUGGCCAAAUGUGAGAGAUGAUUGGUCCAUUUUCUCCGAAAGCAUGCAAUAGACAGUUAAUGAUAGUAGAUGAAACAAAAUGGAAGGAAAGCAGGAACUAGGAAUGAAAGUUAGACAAAUGUAACUAUCAUCAUUGCUAUAAUAACGUGGAGGGAAACAGCCAAAACACUGAAAGAUGGAAACUUGCCAGAUAACAAGAUAUGCUAAUAAUAGAACAAUAACUCAGUUUUCAUUCAAGGAAAGUAAAUGGUCCAGUAACGAAAUUACCUCUUAGCUAGUGAAUAGUCAAAUUAUAAAAACCAUGACACAACAAAAGAAGCCUAAAGAACAAAACUUUACAGAAUGUUAUUAAAAGGUAAUGAAACUCAUUCUAGCACUACUAUGAUCUAACAAAGAACAUGCAAAACAAACCCUUAAAGAGAAAGAUAUAAAACCAGCAUCCCAGAGAAGGAGAAACAGCAGAGCAUCCUAAAAAUUCUACAAAAACAGGGGGAAACUUGAAAUAACUAAAAACAAACGUUUUCCCGGCUUUCACAAACUAGAGUGGAAAGACUGGGAUUAACUACAUAAGAAAAUAAUCCAACAAAUCAUCCAUUCUACAUAUGCAAAGCAUCAAACGCACGGGAAAUAAAAAAUUAGAGCUUUUGCCUGUAAAGAAACAAAGGAUGCAAACUAACAGCCAAAACCAUCAAAAUCGAACCAAACAAAAUCGACCCUUUAUCGAUCAUAGUCAACUUCAAGAAACCCAGAAAAGUUUCAAUACAACUCAGAAGCAGAAACUGAUUAAAUCAAGAACGACUAGCAUUUACCUUCAGAGCAAAAAGAGAUGAUACUGAAAUCCUGAAUUAUUACCUCAAUGUCCAAAAGAAAGCUUGCCUUAUGGAGUCCACAAAUAUGCGAAUGAUAUAUGGGAUAAGACAGACGAAGAUUAUAUGCUAUAGAAGUCGUUGUUUCGCUCAAAAACUGGAUCUCUGAUUAUGGCCGUUCACAUCUCCUCCCUGCUCUACUAUUUGUAGUGCUGCUGCUGACAAAGCGGCGGCUAAGCUUUUAAAUGUUUUUUAAAUGCACAUAUCCUUUUUAUCUCUUUUCCAAUGUGGUGGGAAAGAAAGGAUUGAAGUUAAAAUUGGGAAAGUCUAUACAUGCAUGGUGACCAUAAUUGUGCUUUUACACAUUUAAAUAUAAAUUACAUGUUGAUUAUUGUCCAAUGUCCAAACAUCAUUGGUUAGGAAAAUGUAUUUAUUUGUUAUUUUUUGACAAUUAAUAAAUUUAUUUUCCUCAUUUUAUUUAGUACAAGUUGCAUACCCACCAGCUGUAUUACAUUUUGAUUUUCUGCACCUCUAGCCAACGGAAUAUUUUUAAGCUUUGUUUUUGUUGUUUCUUUGAUGUUUCUCUAGAGUUCUCCACUUGUAAACCAACAUGACAUUAUUUUGAUUCAUAAUUUAGCUGAAUAUCUUUCUUUCUUUUUUUUUUUGGGGAAAAUAUUCAAUCAUGAUAAUGUGAUCUCAAUUAUGAUUUUUCUUGUUUUAAUAUACCACUACCAAUUAUGUUAGUUGGUUGCUGAAACCUUAAAGAGGUAUAAUCUUACUAUAUUAUUAAAAGAUGGUUCAACUGAUGGAUCCGUGGUCACUAAAAGAAUAUUCAUAAAUACAUAUAAUAUGUUAGUUAUUUUUACAUACGUGUAAUUGAUAAGUAAAGUGUUUUAAAUAUCAUUUAUUAUAUUAAAAUAGAUAUAUUAUGAAUAUGUAAAUACUAAUAAAUCACUCAAUUUACUUAUAUCAUACUUAACAAAUAUAGAUCAUGUAUUCAACGAUAAAAUAAGAUUAUUUAAUUUAUGGUACACAAUAAAUAACAAUUUUAGUUUGAAAGUUGAAUUAAUUGUAUAAUAAAAAUAUAUUUGAAGAGACAUCUUAUCAACGAGCGAAAACUUUUGACUAAGAGAUCCAAGGUUCAAAUCUUGAUAAAAGCAUACAUUUUGGCACAAAAAAAAAUUCACUACGUUAUGAAAAAGUCACCAAAAUUUCUAGUUGAACCAUUGAAUCAAGCGGGAUAGAAUGAGUUUGACUCCAUCAAUUCCUUAUUUAGUUACAUUAAGAAUUUGAGCCAGUUCAUCACAGCAACUCAGCAAGCAAUUUAAUUGCCGGAUGGAUAGGGUUAGGUUUAAUAACUAUUUAUAUUGGUAUAACUAUUUUUUCCCUUCAAUUAUUGCAAUCAUUGGAAACGAAUAUUUCUUUUUGGUCAAAUACUCAAAAUGAACGUCCAAUUCAACAAAUUUGUGGUAAGCAUGGCAUAAGAUCACAAGGACGUCAUCUCGUAGCGUCCAUAAUUGACCUCAAUUUGGGACCGGCAAGAAGGUUCUGUGCGUGGGAUCGUCACAGUUCAAAAACCAAGAGUCCUAAUUAGAAAAUUUUCCCUUUUCGUUUUGGGGUUGAUUUCAAAGUCUAGUUUUAGAAUAUAGCUCCUCAAAUUUUAUAAGUAAAUCUAAUUUGUUCAACAAUACGUCAAGCAUCAAUUGUAACGUUAUUUCAAGAAUACAUCAAGCAUCAAUUGUAAUGUUAUAGACUAUAACAUUAUCUUUUUAUUUUACAUACAUCACAUUAUAAAAAAAUGUUACAAGAAUUAUUCUAGAUAAUAUUUCAAAUGAUACUCUGUUCUUGCUUUCCCUUCUAAGCCUUGCGGUUUACACCUAUGCCUUCUCUCGUUCUUCAUUUUUUGUUUUUUGAAGCAUAUUCUCUCAUUCUACCUUAGUAUGUAAAGUAGUACUAUUGCCUUGUUUGUACUGUCAUUUUUUUUAUAAAAUUAUUUUAUUUUUUCAAUCACUUUUGUACUCUACGUACAUCAACAAAUAAUCUAAUGGUUUCUUAUGAGGAAUUAGGAAAGUUCCAUCCUACCAUUGCAAUGCCUUUCUCCAUAAUCAAACUUCCUAAAAGGUCAGAUUUAAUGUUCAUGCAUAAAAAUUUAAUCUUUGUGAUAAUUUUAAUGGCCUGUUUUAUCAAGAAGUCUGAUACAACAAUUGCAGAUCAGUCCCUAUACUUUUUAUUAACUAUAUUGUGGCCCUAAAAAUUUUAGUUUUUUAAUUAGGUCCCUAAUUUAAUUUCACUUUGGUCCCUAAGCUUUAUUUUUCUUUUCAUUUCGACCCCUAAUCUUUGUGAUAAUUUUAAUUUGACACAAAAAUUUUCUUAAUUUUUGUAAUUAGAUCCCUGACAGUUUUGAUUUCUUAAAUACAAGUUGUCUUUCUUCUUUGAUUGUUAAUUAUACUUCAUUUAAGUGAUUUAGUUGGUAGAUUUCAUGAUUAUUUUUAUUUCUUUAUAAUUAAAUUGGUGCCUUGAUCAUUUUGUUCAUUUUGGAGCAUAAACAGGGUAAAUUCAACCCCAAUUAGCUACUAUUUCAAGGGAGGUAUCUUCUUUUAUGUGCUUAUAUUUGUUUUAUGUGUAAUUGCAUGAUUUUGAGUGUUUUCUUUAUUUAUUUAAUUACUCGUUUUAUUUAGCUCAAGUUUCAUAUAUUAAAUUUGGUGAUUAUUUGAGAGGCAUUUAAAUGUCAAAUUGUAAUAGAUAGGUAGUCAAAACAUGUAUUUAGCUAGACUAUAUAAUAGAUAGGUUUUAAUUUUGUCAAAGUGUAAUUAGUUAGAUAAAUGUAAUAAUUAGGUUAUUAUUUUUAGAUUUCUUCCCUUAGAUUGUAGUUAGGGCCCAAAUGUAAUAGUUAGGUCCUUAUGUGUGUUUAUUUGUGUGCGUACUUGCAUGUUUAUGUGCUUUUGUGUUUACUUGCUUUUUUAGAAUUUUUGCAUCUAGAUAUUAUGUUUAUGUGUUAUGUGCUUUAUGUGUUUACGUGUUUACUUGUUUUAAUUAUGUUUUAUAUGUUUUAUUUAGUUAUAAUAAAUGCAUGACAUCACCAUACCAGUUUAACACUAGUUGUGGUCUAUUUUCUCGAUUUCUCGCUAGUCCAACGCUAGUGAGAAUUUAUAGACAUGAGUUAGUCCAAUACUAGACCUUUAGGAACUAUCCACGCGCUAUAUCAUGUUUAUGUGACAAUCACUACAUUUCAUGCAUAUUUUCUACUUUUUAAGAUUCUUACCAUUUUGCAUGAUAUUUCCUUUAUAUGUAUAUCCCUUAUCCCUAUGUGUGAAACAUGACAUUUAGACUUGCAAUCCAUUUAGAAAAUUAGAAGUAGGUUAGUUCAUUUGUUUGACUAGAUUAGGAAAGUCACCCUUCAAAUAUGGGAAAUAGACGAGUAUGGCUUUUUAACCUUAGCACGCUCGUAUCUCCUCUAUAAAAAGGAAAAUUGAGUCACGAAUCUUAGUCUCCCAUACCCGUUAUGUUACAUUCAUUUUUUUUAGAUCACGUAUACUUAUAUAUUAUAAUUUUUCUUUUUUUCGAGUCUUACUCUUUGCAUAUUCGAAUCUCAUUUUUUGCAUAUUCGUGACCUAUUCUAAGAAUAAUUUUGGCAUCACAAUUAAUGUGAUUCGCACCAAUCAAAGUUUGAAGAGAUAUUUCAACCCUCUCAAUAUCCAUUAGAUCUAGAUUUGCAUCCAUGUAGUAACAUCCAAAAUAUGAUAAGUUUUAUAGGUUAGAUUAAGAAAAUUUUUAACUAAAUCUCGCAACAAACUUUGGUUAGGUUGGAAGGGUGUCUUAACUUUGUUUCUGUCAAAUCUUUGCCUUCUCUUUUUUCAACCGUGACUCCCGAAUUCUUUUCUCUUGUUUGCAAAUACUUGUAGUUGUCUAAAAAGGGUUUUAUUUGUUUUUUUUAAUUAAAAAUACAUUUUUAACUGACUUGGUACACCUUAAUUCAAUACCAAGUGGCGACUCCUAUUUUUUCUUAAAAACCCUUUUUAGACUACUCCCUCCAUCCCAGAAAGUGUGUCGGGUUUCGGAACUUGUAAUUAUUAUCAACAGUGCAAGACUUUUAAAUGAUUUGCGUUUAAGUUCCGGCAAUACCCCCUUGACUUUCAAUGUAUCCAUACGUGGUUGAAUGAUAAAAGGGCCAUAAGUUGUGACAAGACAAGUGGGACCCAAAAGAAUGAAAUGUCUCCACACUACUUUAGAGGAAAGUGUGAUGCACGAUUGUUAUUUGCAUUUUACGUGAGAGUCACAAACUGUUAAGUGCAGUGUUGGUACUUGGUAAGUGCAUAAUUAGACCCACUAAAAGAUGAGAAAAGGUUGUCACAUUGAAGGGUAUGGAGCAGAAAUGUGUGAAAGUUUUCAUUGCCAAUUUUAGUAUAGUAAGUGACAAUCAUUUUGGGAUGGAUAAAAAAGGAAAGUGUGACACUAUCAAUGGGACGGAGGGAGUAUUAUUUUGAGUCCAAAUUAUCGCAUUUUUUAAAUUCCCAUAUUAGGCCCUUUUCUUUUUCUUUAUUCUCUAAAAAUCAAAAACUCAUUUUCACUCAAAGUUAAUCAAAAAAUUCAUUUUUGUAUAACCCAUAAUUUUAUUUUUCAAAAAAAAAAGGGCGCGACAAUGGUAUCUAAUAUCAUUGAUUAUCAUCUUAAGUUCAUAAAUAUCUUAGAUUUUUAGUCUCCUUCUAUAAAUAGAAUGCUUUAUAUUUUCAUAAAAUAAAAUAAAACUUUUGCUGAUUAAAUGGCAUUUCUUUGAAUUGUAAGUAUACUUUAGAACUUAAUCCAUUAUUAAUUUAUCAAUUAAUUAGUACCUCUUUAAAUUAAUAAAACCUGUAUGGUCUCAAAUUUAUUGAUUUGUAGAGGUUUUACUCUAAUUUCAAUUGCUUGCAUACGCCUAUAAUGUGUCUUGUAUUCUUAUACUAUAUAAGAUUGAGUUUUGGUCAAAAAAUAGGUUGAAUUUCAACCGCAUAGGUGGGGACUUUCUGGGAAUGUAAAAUGUUGUGUAUUAGUUUAAAAACUUUAGGUACAAGUUAAGGAAGCAUGUAUUUGGAUAUGUUUACUGAAAUGACCCCAUUUUAAUACAUUUAAAGUUGUCAUUGAUGAGCCAUCUGGGUAUUGAUGGAAUGUGUAAUUAGUGUGCAACCGUUUUUUGCAUUUUGUACAACCCAUACAUGCUUGUGUGUUGGUAUAAUUACCGGAAUAUCUCUUAACUACCAACAAUUCCUCUUUUCAGCCACAGAUAACUGUUUGAGAUGUUGUUUUGUCUGAAACGUUUGAAUGGCAAUCAGAUUUAGGAAAUGAGCCAACGAUUUCUCUAUCAAUGGUAGGAACUCAUUUCUCUAUCAUUUAUAAUCUGCAUUUAUGAGUCACAAACGUUGGUCAGUUUUAUUCCCUUUCAGUUUCAGGAGUUAAGUUUUCCUUUUUUGCCUUUGUCUAGAACGAUUUGCCUCAUCGUUUUCUCUUCCAUCCGAACUCAAUUCUGAAAUUACCUAUUAUUUCGUCAUUAAUUACACCCAAUUCAAUUGCCGACCCGUUGGUAUGUUAAUGCCUAAACGGUUGAUUAUCAGUUUCUCCCUUUUCGCAUUCUAGGAUUGAGACAAUUCUACUUGGCUUCAUACUAAUCAACUCAGAAUGCUUUUCAGUCCCAGCUACUCCUGGUGGUUCAGCGUGGGGUUAGAUUUCACACCCCCCAAAUUUUUUAGUUCCUCCCUUAAUUUUGUUGGUGUGUUCUUAGUACCUACAAUUAGCGACUCUUAUUGCGUUGCCUAGGUGCAAGAUAGCAUUUUUCACGUUGUCUAACCCCAAUUGGUCUGUGUUGGUUAUAAUCUUAUAGGUUUGAAACAAUAGCAAGAAAGAACUCUUGGUGGGGAUUUUGGAAUAAGGUUAGCUUUCUGUGUUGCUUUGCCUUUCUGCAUUAUCAACUACCUUCAAUUUGACACAGUUUUAUUGUAACGCUGUGUGAAUUAAUUGAUUAUAUCGUUUAUCUUUUCAUACUAAGUUUUAUUUCUUCUCACAAUGUACUAUUGUUUGUUCAACAAAAAAACCUCCUUCCUCACAGGCACCAAACACCCGCGCGGUGCGCGGGCACUCUCCCUUAGUAUUAGUAUAAUAUUAACUUAAAAAAUGCUAGAACAAAUUGAGAGAGUGAAGAAAAUUUAGAAGAAAAAGAAGUAGUAAAAAGGGGAAAAUGUAAAAGCUAUACCUAUAUUUUUUAAGUUACCAAACAUUUUAUGGGUUCAAUAAAAAUCCAUUAUGAUUAACUAAUGAUAAUUAUAGGGAAUAAUGAACUUUUACUAAACAGUUAGUUUUAGUUAUUUGGUUCUUGGCCACCAUAUGAGAAAUUGGAAGAAUUUUUCACAAUCAUAUGCAUAGAAAUUGAAUAUUAUUAGAACUGGAAAAUGAUGGGCAUUGGACUCAUGUUUUGAGAAAAGGAAUUUGGCGUUUGUGCCUUGUUGUCUCUCGGAUCUGUAUGUUCCCCCAAUUGAGCAUUUAUUAAUCCAAUGUAAUGUAUAUUCAUACGUGCAGUUAAGUCCUUUAGAAAGUCCCACAUUCCUCUCCUGUGUAAUUCACCUACCGUUGCCUACCGGUUGCCUACCGGUUGCCUGAACCUAUGUGGACCCAUAAGCCUUUGACAAUGGUCCCAGGCAGAGUUGUUGUGAUUGUGGUGGUUCUGCCCAUGGUGGGAAGAAAUUCCCACUUUUCACACUAGAAGCAUCCUUGACUUUGGGUAUCCAUCAUCCAAGAUACAGCUUGUAAGAGAGCAAAUUGAAUUAGGAAAAAAAAAGUGGGUUAUUGUUUGUUGCACCAAAAUGGGUAGCGAAGCUGUCUCCCUUGCUUUGGGAACGGUGAAGGAUUUGUUAGCUGAAGAAGCCAGAUUCUUGAGCGGAGUGGCGGAUCAAGUCAAGGAAGUUGAAGUAUAUUUGAUACGGAUGCAAUGUUUCUUGAAAGACGCCGACAAAAGGCAAUUGAAUGAUUCGACUGUCCGUAAUUAUGUCAGGGAGAUCAGGCGUCUUGCUUACAGAACUGAAGAUGUCUUGGAGAAGUUUGCCGUUGAAAUCGAAUCCAGGAGAAGGGGCCACGGCUUCCGUAAGGCUUUCAGAAGAUUUUCGUGCCUAAUUUCUGAAGGAAUGUCUCUUCACAGAGUUGGUUCAGAGAUAGCUAGCAUCAAAGCAGGAAUCAACAGCCUCACCACAGAUCUGGAAAAUUAUGGCGUCAUUGCAUUGAGCAGUACUGAAGACGGUCAAAGUUCCAAUGCGAGAUUGGAUCAGAAUCAACAGCGGCUGAGACAAACCUAUCCCCAUCAAGUUGAGGAAUAUUUUGUUGGGAUGAAAGAUGAUAUAAGACAGCUUGUGUCCCUCAUCACUGAUGAGGGAAUUAGAUCACAUCGAGUUAUUUCAGUACAUGGGAUGGGCGGUCUCGGUAAGACCACUCUUGCCAGGAAGAUCUACAAGCACAUUGAAGUAGAACGUGCUUUCAAACAGUUUGCUUGGGUUUCGGUUACCCAACAGUGCAAUACGAUGACCGUCUUCCGAGACAUUCUGAAGCAGCUUGUCCCGGACCAGAGGAAGGACAGUGUUGGGAAGAUGGAUGAGAGGGAAUUGGUAGGAGAGCUUUAUAAAGUGCAGAAAGAGACAAAAAGCUUUGUUGUUCUUGAUGACCUGUGGAAAAUUGAGGACUGGGAGUGUCUCAAAGUAGCAUUUCCAUUUGCAGAGGCGGAUAGCAAAAUUUUGAUUACAACUCGGAACCAGAAACUCGUAGAAGAUGAAUUCCUCUAUCCACUCAACCUUCUGAACGAGGAUGAAGGCUGGGAGUUACUUCAAAAGAGACCUUUUACCAAAAGAAAUGGCGCAGGUUAGCUUUUCUCUAGUGAAGUACAUAUAUCUGACUUGCAUUAGUUAAAACAGAAUAAAAAGUUUGAUACUUAUUCCUACAGAUUCUAUGCCGUUCAUACCUGUAUGCAUUUCUGUUAGCUUUUUUUACACGUAAUUCACACUUUUCUCUCUUGUAGAUUCUGAAAGUGAUCCGCAGUUGGAAGCAGUAGGGAGGGCAAUUGUUGGCAAGUGUGGAAACCUGCCCUUAGCAAUCUCUGCAAUUGGAGGAGUUCUGAGUCAAAAGACUUCACUCGAGGAGUGGGAGACAGUGAAGAAUGAUGUGGAUUCGUAUAUAAGGAUGAGUGAAGGUGGCAAAGAAGAAGGGUAUGGAGCCGUGUUGCAGGUGUUGGCUCUGAGUUAUGACGAGCUACCCUACCACUUGAAGCCAUGUUUUCUUUACCUGGGGCAAUUUCGUGAGGAUGAGGACAUAGAUGCAGAGAUGUUGUAUCGAAUGUGGACAGCAGAAGGGAUGGUCUCAGCAGAUCAUGGCGGAAAAGGAGAAACUCUGACAGAUGUAGCUGAAAGGUACUUGUAUGAGAUGGCUAGUAGGUCAAUCCUUCAGGUGAAGUUCGAUGAGUUCUCGACGGCCAGAAAGGUUAAGUCAUGCUACCUUCAUGAUCUGAUGAGGGAAUUCUGCCUGGCCCGCGGAAAAGAAGUUGAAUUUCUCAAGUUGCUUGAUUUUCGAGGAGGAAAUGAUCCCUUGUCGGAUUAUUCUACAGAGCGCGACGACAGUACUCCUAGAUGUUCCAUUCACACGGAAGAUGAUGAAAAGCAUGACGACAUGGAAGAUGAUAAAAGUCAUGUUGACUCUAUGAUAAGUAGGGCACUGGAAGCCAGUGGACAACUGCGUUCUUUAACAUUAAGUGGUGGCUCUGGAUAUCCGGAGGUAAGCAUCUCAUUUCCUCGAGUAAUAUGUGAUUCAAACAAGUUCAAAUAUGUAAAGGUUCUCAAAUUCGAGGGUUACGAUUUCAUGGGCAAAGGUUUGCCUAAAGGAAUAAAGAAGCUGGUCAGUUUGAGGUUCCUCAGUGUAAAGGACAGUAUCUUGUUUGAACUUCCAUCAUCCAUAGGUCAAUUACAGUACCUGGAGACACUUGAUAUACGAGUCUGUAAUACGAUUACGGUGCCUGAUGUCUUGUGCAAAUUGAAAGGAUUGAAGCAUUUGUAUUUUACUGGAGUCUACCGCCGUACAGAAGAUGGACUACUAAGUUUUCUUGGCUUAAGUGAGCUGGAGACUUUAGUUGGCUUUGACGAUAGUGUCGGAGACUUGAAACAUUUGUCAGGGUUGAGUAAUCUAAGGUUCCUCCAUGCAACUGUGAAUAUCAGUAAAGAGAAGAACGAUCUCCCUCAGAUGCUCAAUUACUUGAAUUCCAACCGACACAAGCUGCGGGAGGCUCAAUUGGAGAUUAUUGCAGAUGGUCAAAAUGAAGUAGUGCUUCCUUUUCUAGAUCUUUUGUCCUGCCAUUGUCUCCACCAAUUGAUCAUGCGCUUGGGAAGGUGGGAGUUUCAAAAAGUUAGAGCACCCCUUUCCCCCUCGAACCUCAGUGAGUUACGUUUGUUUGGGUGUUCAAUUGAAGGAGAUCCAAUGAGUGUCUUGGGAGAUCUUCCAAACUUGAGGAGCCUGCUUUUUUGUGAUGUGGAGUUGGUGGAGAGAAAUGUGAUGAUUAUUGAUGCAAAUGCUUUUCCAAAACUCGUAUCUCUGGAGAUCACUGCCAUAAAAAACUUAGAAAAGUGGGUGGUGGCUGAAGGAUCCAUGCCUAACCUAUCUCAUCUUGAAAUCGCGUAUUGUCAUGAACUGGAGAUGACUCCUGAUGAGUAUUACAACACUCAGAAAGUUGGAAAUUAGAAUGCCUGAAGAAUUCAUCGUCCAAAGAAUUCAUGGGAUCGAUGGGCGUGGAGGACCGGAUCAUGACAAAAUCAGUCGCGUCCCCGUGAUUAAAAUUGGAUCUUAUGGAAGCCAACUGAUGACAUCUCGAGCGAAGAAGCUUCCAGUUCUGUGGAUUGCAAGUCUAGCCAUCACUGAAGCCGCUGCUUCACUGAAGAAUCUUUUAUAUGUUCUAUAAAAGUUAAAACCUAUUAUUAUUAUGUACUGCUUACUCCUCCUGUAGGGCAUUUCUAUCAGAAGAAAAAUAAAUUUGUGAAGUCUUCUUGUAAAUUCUAAAGUUCAUUAAUCUUGUAGCCAUAACUUUCCACACUUACAGUAUCAGAAAUACGACAUUUACAGACACGCGGCAUAACAUAAAAGACCUGACUGGAAAUAAAUGUUUCCAACAUGCUGCAGACUCUUUCAGGGCAUACUUGUCGACGUCCAAAUCCAUUUCUUCUCCGGUAGACUUCAUUAGUUUCCAGCUUCUUGAUCCGGCGUCCUUCUUCCUCCCCACCUCAUCAUCCCGCCCCACACCACUUAUCCUCCUCCUUAAUCUCACACCAGCUCCAACCAUCUCAAACACUUCCCAAAUCAAUAAAAAAUACUAUUACUACUGUGUUUUGUGUGUAUAAUUAUGGCUUCAUAUAUAUAUGGUUUAUGCAAGGUGUAAUUCACUUCUCACUUUUUUUUGAGUUUCUUGGAAAAUGUCAUGCACAUUUGCGGGUUUGUUUUACUUCUUGAAUUCUGGUAACUUCGACAAAUAUUAAAUCUUUUUUAUUGGUUAUCUAUACAUCUGUGGAGUAUACUUUUUUUUUUUGGGUCGAGAUUGAACGAGAAGCAACUCUAAUAAUAAAUUUCUCAAAACAAGGGUUAAUUAAUUUGGGAGUAAAUCUUUCUCACACUGAUGGUGUAUACACUAUCAUUGUUGGAUUCAUGACAUGUGUGCAAAAGUUGAAUUUUAGUGUAUAUAUUGUCAGUGUAGGAAAGAUUAAUCCUUAAUUUGGUGCAGAAAAAAGCUUGUGGAGGUUUUGUGGAGAUUGGGACAUCUGUUCUAUAAGACCUAUUAUUAUGUAGUACUUACUCCUCUAAGGCAUUUCUAUCAGAAGAAAAAUAAAUUUGUGAAGUCUUCUAAAUUCUAAAGUUCAUUAAUAAUGUUGGUACACAAUUGAGCUAUUCUUCUGAUUCUUUUCUUUUUCUCUUUUUUUUUUUUUCCCGUUCUCAUGACAUAAGCAAGUGAGCUAUUGUGGUCGAAAGAUUUUCUGCAUUCGACGCUGUCCAUACUAUAGUACACUUAAGUUGGAUUUAAUACUAGCUUUCGUGGGAAGGCAGUUACCAUCCUUGAGUAAUUCUUCCAUAAAAAGGGAAAUAAAUAGAUAAAUAAAUAAAAGGGUGCAAACAUAAACUGUCGUCUUCCAAUAGUAUAAGUUGUACUAGGAAACAUUGAAUCCAGUAGGCACGUGAAGUCAAUGCGACAUUUGAAUAGUUGAUGAUAUAUAAUGGAACGUGAGGAGUGACUUCAGCAAUUUUGUUAGCAAAAACGAAACGGUUGAAGAGUUCUGUCGAAUUCUCCUGCAUGCAUUCUAAUAUAAAAAAAAAAAAAAAAAUCAAAGUGAAUUGUAAAUUUUGUCAAGUGAAUUAUGAGUUUUAUUUUUUUAAAAAUUAAGUAAUAAAUUUUAGAAGUUGUGAGAUUGGGUUUUUGGUAAUAAGUAAGCAUAUUUUAUGAUAAUAAAACAUUUUUUUUUUUUUUUUACAUGAUAUGAUAACAAAACUCACUACUUGUAUAACUAAACUUACGACUUAUUGCUUGAAAAAGUUAUCAUUCACUUGUCGUGUCGUGAGAAAACAUUACAACACUCUUCUAAAAUUUACAAUUGGCCCUUUUUCUUCUCAACUCAUUUGUGAUAUAAUUCCUCAAGUGGGCAUCUACACAGAAAAUUUCUCUCUUCUUGUGUAUUUGUCCCGCCAUAAUAAAUUGGAUAACAAUAACGAGAUGAAUAAAGAAGCAGUAAACCACUAAUAAGAAAUGAGAGCCAAUGAGGAGAUAGCAGAAUGGAAAAACAAUUAAGAAAACUGGGGCCUUAACAAACCAUGGUAGAAAUGGCAGAAAACCAGAAUGGAUAUCAUGAGAGGUAAAGACUAGGGACUGAAUUACUGAAGAAAUGUUUCCUCGAGAAAUGAACAACGGAGGCAGCACACAUUUUUACCGGCUCUCGGAAUGAACUCAGUACCAUCUCAGCCAUCUCAUUCAUGCUCACCAUCUCAUCGCUUCCAAUAUUUACCGGCUCUCGGAAGUCUGAUUUCGUCAAUCUGAACAUACAGAAGGGGUUCAUAUAAGGAUUCCAGAAGCAGCUUAUGAAGCAACCAUAUCAGAAUUCAUAUCAUGAUUACUCUAAAUUCACAAAUUUGAACAUUGGCAGUGAAUAGACUGCACAAUUAUUCUUCAGUGAAUAUGCACUAGCAUAUAGGCUCCUACAUGAUUUUUCCAUUAAUGUCUAGGGUAGCAUUGCAUAAAGACCACAAUCAUCAACAGGCAUUCUAAUUAGCCUAUGAGCACUUUCUCUAUGACCAUAAAGGAGUGCACAUUAGAAGAACAGGAAGCAUCAUAUGAAAUCACAGUUUUAGAAGAUAUCAGACUAAUCCAGAUCUGCCAUUUUGAAGUUAUGAAUUUGACAGUGAGCAUGUUCUAGGUUUAGCUUGACAUAUAGACCUCCUGAAUGAUUUUGCUAUCUUUUAAGAAUUAGCACCUUUUGAUAAUUCACAACUCAUGAGAGGAAUCUAGAGUUCACCAUUUUACCAUGCUGCUAUCAUCAGCAAGCAAUUCAAUCAGCUAAACCAUCAUUUCAUCACAAGCCCCAAAUCAUGUAUUUGGACAACGGACAGGAGCAUACCUCAAAACACCUUCAACACAUUCAUCAAUGAAGGUAAAAGAUCGAGUUUGUAGCCCAUCUCCCCACAUCUCAAACUUGUCAGUGGAGGUAAUGGCCUUCCUACAAAAUGCAGCUGGUGCUUUUUCCCUCCCACCUACAGGUGUCAAUGAAGAAGUUAAUAGAUAUCAUGGAAGACUUCUCAGGAGUACAAGAUACCAAUUAUCUGAUGCUACCAGAAGUCGAAGCUUACCUUUCCAUGUCCCAAAUGGACCAUAAAUGUUAUGGAACCUUCCAAUCCGGCACUCAAUUCCAAAGUCCUUGUUGUAGUGCUUACAAAUUUCUUCAGUUGCCAACUUCUCUAAGCCAUAAGCGUCUUGGGGCUAAAACACAAUUCAUACAAAACUAAAUCAUAAUCUAAAAAUUGCCCCAUUGAAUAAUAUUCAUCUUUUAUUAGAAACAAGGGAGGACCUCAGCUGGCCAAGCAUCAGACUCUUUCAGGCUGACAUUAGUGUCCAAUUGUUUGAAUUCAGGAUAGAUGCAAGCACUGGAUGCAUAAAAGAACCUGCAACUCAAAUAUGAAGAAGUAAACAUCAUGCAUAAGAAAACAUUGGCAACUAAAAGGACUAGUGACGUAUGACGUGGAAGUGUUGCUACCAAAAGGGAAAACUUUAAUUUAUAAACACGAAGAAAGAUGUUAAUAUUUAUCAGAUGUAAACUCAAAUUUCGUAAUACAUGUAGUUCUUUUGACAUUUAUUAGCAUGAAAAAGUAAGACUAACAGCCCUCUGUUUCAUAUGAUCAGACCUCAGAUGGACUAGAGUAAUUAUUAAGCAGGUAGACUCUAAAGCGGUUUGAUAGUCAUUCAACUUCCGUCAAGAUCAACUUUACCAUACAAUGUCUAAAUUAACUUCUCCAAAAGGCAAUAAGUUAUACAUUUGACAGAUAACUUAGACAUCUUAUCUCAUGAUAAAUCUGUGAAAAUUUGAAACGCUAACAUGAAGGUAUGUCUUUUUUAUCUUCUUUGCGAAUAAUAACACAUUGAAGGAUAUUAAGCAGGUAGAGAUGGCAGACCUUCUGACCCCAUUGAUCCUUGCGGCUUCAAUCAUAUUAAAACUGAUCAUUGUGUUGUUAUACAUGAUGACUGAGUGGUUGGAUUGUAUGAAGCCCAUGCCUCCCAUAUCUGCUGCUAGAUUGAAGACAUGAUCAACUCCUUUAGUGACUUUAAGACAGUUGUCCAUAACCCUGAGAUCAACGAGGUGGAAUUCAUCACAGAACAUGUCUUCUGUCAUGUGCUCAUUUUUCUUCCAGUCAGAAGCUAUGAUGUAAUGGCCCUCACUCUUCAAACGCCUGGCAAUAUGUGAUGCAAUAAAUCCACCAGCUCCAGUAAUUGAAAUUCGGAGGUUCUCCGAAGGCCAGUAGGGCUCCCUCUCAAGAUUCUCGUAGGUGUAAGCCGCAUAUUUUGUUUCACAGUUACUUCCCAUUCUACGCGUAUCAAUAGGGUGGAAGAAAGAAAUUUCUAGAUUAGACAACCACGAACAGUUCUUAUGAUGGAGCACACAAACGUAGGGAACAAUAUCAGAUGAAGAAACGCUCCUAGGAAGUCAAGUGGCAAAAUGUGAGAGAUGAUUGGUCCAUUUUCUCCGAAAGCAUGCAAUAGACAGUUAAUGAUAGUAGAUGAAACAAAAUGGAAGGAAAGCAGGAACUAGGAAUGAAAGUUAGACAAAUGUAACUAUCAUCAUUGCUAUAAUAACGUGGAGGGAAACAGCCAAAACACUGAAAGAUGGAAACUUGCCAGAUAACAAGAUAUGCUAAUAAUAGAACAAUAACUCAGAUUUCAUUCAAGGAAAGUAAAUGGUCCAGUAACAAAAUUACCUCUUAGCUAGUGAAUAGUCAAAUUAUAAAAACCAUGACACAACAAAAGAAGCCUAAAGAACAAAACUUUACAGAAUGUUAUUAAAAGGUAAUGAAACUCAUUCUAGCACUACUAUGAUCUGACAAAGAACAUGCAAAACAAACCCUUAAAGAGAAAGAUAUAAAACCAGCAUCCCAGAGAAGGAGAAACAGCAGAGCAUCCUAAAAAUUCUACAAAAACGGGGGGAAACUUGAAAUAACUAAAAACAAACGUUUUCCCGGCUUUCACAAACUAGAGUGGAAAGACUGGGAUUAACUACAUAAGAAAAUAAUCCAACAAAUCAUCCAUUCUACAUAUGCAGAGCAUCAAACGCACGGGAUAUAAAAAAUUAGAGCUUUUGCCAGUAAAGAAACAAAGGAUGCAAACUAACAGCCAAAACCAUCAAAAUCGAACCAAACAAAAUCGACCCUUUAUCGAUCAUGGUCAACUUCAAGAAACCCAGAAAAGUUUCAAUAAAACUCAAAAGCAGAAACUGAUUAAAUCAAUAACGACUAGCAUUUAU